rnacentral:rRNA from 1 species
AUCGGAAUGAGUACACUUUAAAUCCUUUAACAAGGAUCCAUUGGAGGGCAAGUCUGGUGCCAGCAGCCGCGGUAAUUCCAGCUCCAAUAGCGUAUAUUAAAGUUGUUGCGGUUAAAAAGCUCGUAGUUGGUUCUGCGUGCCGCGCUGUCGGUUCGCCGCCUGUCGGUGUAACUGGCAUGUCGCGGCAUGUCCUGUCGGUGGUGAACGGAGUCCACAAUGCUACAUAGGCUUUAUUGCCGAUGUUAGCGUCGUGUGUACUUCCGUUGGCCGAUCUCUCCUACUUCGGUGCUCUUAAACGAGUGUCGAGGUAGGCCGACACGUUCACUUUGAACAAAUUAGAGUGCUUAAAGCAGGCUGAAAUAUCUGCCUGAAUAGUGGUGCAUGGAAUGAUAAAACAGGACCUCGGUUCUAUUUUGUUGGUUUUAGGAAUAUGAGGUAAUGAUCAAUGUGGACUGGCGGGGGCAUUCGUAUUGCGACGUUAGAGGUGAAAUUCUUGGAUCGUCGCAAGACGCACUAGAGCGAAAGCAUUUGCCAAGUAUGUCUUAAUUGAUCAAGAACGAAAGUUAGAGGUUCGAAGGCGAUCAGAUACCGCCCUAGUUCUAACCAUAAACGAUGCCAGCCAGCGAUCCGCCGAUGUUCCUUUAAUGACUCGGCGGGGAGCUUCCACCCGGGAAACCAAAGCUUUUGGGUUCCGGGGGAAGUAUGGU